rnacentral:rRNA from 1 species
UAAUACGGAGGGUCCGAGCGUUAAUCGGAAUUACUGGGCGUAAAGCGUGCGCAGGCGGUUUGUUAAGCGAGAUGUGAAAGCCCCGGGCUCAACCUGGGAAUUGCAUUUCGAACUGGCGAACUAGAGUCUUGUAGAGGGGGGUAGAAUUCCAGGUGUAGCGGUGAAAUGCGUAGAGAUCUGGAGGAAUACCGGUGGCGAAGGCGGCCCCCUGGACAAAGACUGACGCUCAGGCACGAAAGCGUGGGGAGCAAACAGGAUUAGAUACCCUGGUAGUCCACGCCGUAAACGAUGUCUACUCGGAGUUUGGUGUCUUGAACACUGGGCUCUCAAGCUAACGCAUUAAGUAGACCGCCUGGGGAGUACGGCCGCAAGGUUAAAACUCAAAG